GACGAACGCUGGCGGCGUGCCUAACACAUGCAAGUCGAACGGAGAUAUUAGCAAUAGUAUCUUAGUGGCGGACGGGUGAGUAACGCGUGGGCAACCUGCCUUGUACUGGGGGAUAACACAGGGAAACUUGUGCUAAUACCGCAUAACAUCACGGAAGGACAUCCUUUUGUGAUCAAAGGAGCAAUCCGGUAUAAGAUGGGCCCGCGUCCGAUUAGCUAGUUGGUGAUGUAACGGACCACCAAGGCGACGAUCGGUAGCCGAACUGAGAGGUUGAUCGGCCACAUUGGGACUGAGACACGGCCCAGACUCCUACGGGAGGCAGCAGUGGGGAAUAUUGCGCAAUGGGGGAAACCCUGACGCAGCAACGCCGCGUGAAGGAUGAAGGUUUUCGGAUUGUAAACUUCUUUGAUGAGGGACGAAGAAAUGACGGUACCUCAAAAACAAGCCACGGCUAACUACGUGCCAGCAGCCGCGGUAAUACGUAGGUGGCGAGCGUUGUCCGGAAUUACUGGGUGUAAAGGGCGUGUAGGCGGGGAUGUAAGUCAGAUGUGAAAUACCCAGGCUUAACUUGGGAACUGCAUCUGAAACUAUGUUUCUUGAGUGUCGGAGAGGAAAGUGGAAUUCCCAGUGUAGCGGUGAAAUGCGUAGAUAUUG
rnacentral:rRNA from 2 species